rnacentral:lncRNA from 1 species
GGACAGUCCUAAUACAGAUGGAAUUCACCUACAGAACUCCAAUGAUGUGCUAAUUCAUAGCAGUGAUCUCGCCUGUGGUAAUUAUUUAAAUUAUCUUGCUUGUAAAUAAGUAUUGUUGCCAUACCGCAUUCAGUUAAACAAUGGUCAGCCAUACGCUGAGCUCCAGCAAUGAAUGGAGUAAGACCUGCGGGUCAACAUUUAAGGAUAAAGGGUUAACAUAAGACCUUGUGAACAUCUGACAGUAUCAGAGAAAAGGUGCUGAAUGAGGUAGUUCUGAUAGGAUACUGAAAGACACGUUUCACAAUCUUAUCCUGCUAAUGCUUUCAUUCCACACAUUCUCCAUCACCCAUAAUAUUUUGACAAGUAGAUGCCAGCAAUAUCCAAACUUCAAGAGUUACAGUCACUGGUCACUUGACAUGUGUCAUAUUCAGAAGAAUGGUGUGGCAUCAACCACCCAAAAUAGGAUUAGAGUUGAACAACACAGAGCAAAGCAUACAUUUUUGUUUUAUUCACUCAAGUUUUGGUUUGCCUGUCUCCACUUACAGCUCGAACUUUUUGUUUUAAUCCCCUAGCCUCUUGUCCACUUUUCUUAAAAACAGGCUCAUGUUCUAAUUAAUUAAUAAGAUAAUAAUAGGCCCUCAGGAGUCUAAUGCUUCCGAAAAAUGCUUAAAUUGAAUCAACUCUAAGCACAGGGAUAAUUGACUAGUACAUAAAGACAUCUAUUUUUGUGUUUAUACUAACCUGAGCUCUUAAAAAUCUAUGAAUCGGUGCAGGAGAUGACUGUGUUUCCAUACAAACAGGAUGCUCAAAUGUAUACAUACACAAUGUGAACUGUGGACCAGGGCAUGGAAUAAGCAUUGGAAGCUUAGGAAGGGAUAAUUCUAAAGCCUGUGUCUCAAACAUCACUGUCAGGGAUAUCGUUAUGCAUAACACAAUGAAUGGUGUCAGAAUUAAGACAUGGCAGGUAACUAUACAAACAUUAUCACUCCCCCCCCCCCCCAAAUGAUUAAAAACUCAUCAAGUUUAAAACAUAGCAAUUAGCUAAACUGGCUUUUAAUUAAAUACAAAAUGCAUCUAAAACUUCGUACUUUAACCAUAAUUUAUAACAAGACUAACUUCGGGGAAUAUAUUUCAAGUUACUUGCAUACUCGAGUUCAUGUGUGGUGAAAAACUAUACAUAUAUGAAAAACAUGUGUCCUUUUUGAAAUAUUACCUACACCUUUAUAUCUUAUUUCUUUUCUUUAAUAGGUCCAAAAAUCUUAUCUAUUACCACUUACUAGUGAUAAAAAAGAAGAAGAAAAAGUUAGUGCAAGUUCCUAUCAUUCUAAGUUCUUUUACAACUCUAGGUUGCUAGUCAGUUUUCUUACAUAUAAUCUCAAAUCACAUCUACAGGGUGGAUCGGGAUCUGUUCAGGGGGUUCUGUUCUCGAACAUUCAAGUUUCUGAGGUCCAACUUCCAAUUGUGAUCGAUCAGUUCUACUGUGACAAAAGGAAAUGUUCGAACGAAACAGCUGCAGUCGCUCUAUCAGGAAUCACCUAUGAAAAAAUAAGAGGAACAUACACAGUAAAACCUGUCCACUUCGCCUGCAGCGAUAGCCUUCCAUGUAUAGGUGUAACCUUAUCUGCCAUUGAACUAAAACCAGUGCAGGAACAUUACUACCUCUACGAUCCAUUCUGUUGGCAAACUUUCGGAGAGUUGACCACCCCUACUGUUCCCCCAAUCAGUUGUUUACAAAUUGGGAAGCCAACAAAUAACAGAGUCCAAUCUGAUCAUGAUGUGUGCUGAGCAUUAGUGUAGGUAAUUCAUGUGGUGCAUUCGCUUGUGUGGUCGGCAGCGAUCUCCUGACCCCUCACGCCAUUCGUUUGUUAAGUGUAGAGUGUAUAUUUAUUUAGGCCUCAUCCUAGCUUAUAGGCAUUCUUCUUUGAAUGGGAUCACACCGGUUCCUAGUUUCCACUAUGAGAGAUUAUACAAGCAUGUUAUAUCAGGUAGAGUCCAAUACUGGAGUACAAGACUGUCUUGUUCAUUCAGGCAGAUUAUUUGAUUGUGAGAUAUUUAUACAAAUGCAUUAUCCACCAGAUGUUCAUCAAUAUAUAUAGACGUAUUGUUCCUUGAAUUUAACCCACUUGAAAGACUGUACUUCAAAAGCAUAAGGUUAAACGAAAUUGAGCAUGCACAAACUGUCCAUGUCUAUCUAAGAAAGCAAACAAGUAAGAUCAGACAUUGACAAAGAACCACCCAAGAAGCAGGUAUUAAGCUCAAAUGACAAUAUUAUGUUCUAAGAAACAGAUUAUAUAUCAAAAGGAACAAGCUAAGACAAAGAAUAAAUAUCAAUAUAAACCAAAGAAAACCAUGAACUGCAAUCGUAGAUGACAUGAUUUGUUUUCUGAAUCUAAUAACUCAUGAAUUAUAUUCACAUUUAAACAAACAAUUCAACUAUAAUUCAAGCCGGUAACCUGAAAAAAUCAAACAAGUAGAGUAAGUAGGGUGCCAACAGAUUGAUCGAUAAGAAGAUCGGGCGUCGUCUCCCACCUUAUAUCUCUCUGGAUUUUCCGUCGAAUCCAUAGAUUCUUCUCCCCGAUUCUGCAAAUAAAAGCAUUAGCAGAGAUCUAACUAAAAAUCACUGACGUUCUUACAUCAGAC